rnacentral:rRNA from 1 species
GAUGAACGCUGGCGGCGUGCCUAACACAUGCAAGUCGAGCGAACGGACGAGAAGCUCUCUUCUCUGAUGUUAGCGGCGGACGGGUGAGUAACACGUGGAUAACCUACUUAUAAGACUGGGAUAACUUCGGGAAACCGGAGCCAAUACCGGAUAAUAUUUUGAACCGCAUGGUUCAAAAGUGAAAGACGGUUUUGCUGACACUUAUAGAUGGUUCCGCGCUGCAUUAGCUAGUUGGUAAGGUAACGGCUUACCAAGGCAACGAUGCAUAGCCGACCUGAGAGGAUGAUCAGCCACACUGGAACUGAGACACGGUCCAGACUCCUACGGGAGGCAGCAGUGGGGAAUCUUGGACAAUGGGCGAAAGCCUGACGGAGCAACGCCGCGUGAGUGAUGAAGGUCUUCGGAUCGUAAAGCUCUGUUAUUAGGGAAGAACAGAUGUAUGAGAAACUGUGCCCGUCUUGACGGUACCUAAUCAGAAAGCCACGGCUAACUUCGUG